rnacentral:rRNA from 1 species
CCCUUAGAUGUUCUGGGCUGCACACGUGCUACACUGGCAGGUUCAGCGAGCUUCAUGCCCUGAUCUGAAAGGAAUGGGAAAUCUUUUCAAAACCUGCCGUGCUUGGGAUAGAUGUUUGCAAUUAUUCAUCUUCAACGAGGAUUGCCUUGUAAGCGCACGUCAUCAGCGUGCAUUGAAUACGACCCUGUAUUCUGUACACACCGCCCGUCGCUCCUACCGAUUGAGUGCUCAGGUGAAUAAUUCGGACUGCAGCAAUGUUUGGAUCCCGAACGUUGCAGCGGAAAGUUUAGUGAACCUUAUCACUUAGAGGAAGGAGAAGUCGUAACA